rnacentral:rRNA from 1 species
UACAGAGGGUGCGAGCGUUGUCCGGAAUCACUGGGCGUAAAGGGCGCGUAGGUGGCGACCCAAGUCGAUGGUGAAAGCUCGCCGCUCAACGGCGAGUCGGCCACUGAUACUGGGUUGCUGGAGCACUGUAGAGGCAGAUGGAAUUCCGGGUGUAGCGGUGGAAUGCGUAGAGAUCCGGAAGAACGACCGGUGGCGAAGGCGGUCUGCUGGGCAGUUGCUGACACUGAGGCGCGGACAGCGUGGGGAGCAAACAGG